AACGAACGCUGGCGGCAUGCCUAACACAUGCAAGUCGAACGAGAUCUUCGGGUCUAGUGGCGCACGGGUGCGUAACGCGUGGGAAUCUGCCCUUUGGUUCGGGAUAACAGUUGGAAACGACUGCUAAUACCGGAUGAUGACGAAAGUCCAAAGAUUUAUCGCCAGAGGAUGAGCCCGCGUAGGAUUAGCUAGUUGGUGUGGUAAAGGCGCACCAAGGCGACGAUCCUUAGCUGGUCUGAGAGGAUGAUCAGCCACACUGGGACUGAGACACGGCCCAGACUCCUACGGGAGGCAGCAGUGGGGAAUAUUGGACAAUGGGGGCAACCCUGAUCCAGCAAUGCCGCGUGAGUGAUGAAGGCCUUAGGGUUGUAAAGCUCUUUUACCCGGGAUGAUAAUGACAGUACCGGGAGAAUAAGCCCCGGCUAACUCCGUGCCAGCCGCCGCCGUAAAAC
rnacentral:rRNA from 1 species